rnacentral:rRNA from 1 species
CUUUAAAGAGACUGCCGGUGUUAAACCGGAGGAAGGUGGGGAUGACGUCAAGUCCUCAUGGCCUUUAUGCUUAGGGCUACACACGUGCUACAAUGGGUGGUACAAAGAGAAGCCAACUCGCGAGAGCGCGCCAAUCUCAAAAAGCCAUCCUCAGUUCGGAUUGGAGUCUGCAACUCGACUCCAUGAAGUUGGAAUCGCUAGUAAUCGCGGAUCAGCAUGCCCGCGGUCCGAAUACGUUCCGGGCCUU